rnacentral:lncRNA from 10 species
CCCUCCCAUUGUAUGGGAGCUCUGUUUUCACUCCAUUAAAUCUUGCUACUGAACACUCUUCUGGUCCAUGUUUCUUACACUCGAGCUGAGCUUUUGCUCACCAUCCACCACUGCUGUUUGCUGCCCUCCCAGACCCUCCAUUGACUUCCACUCCUCCGGAUCCAGCAGGGUGUCUGCUGCGCUCCUGAUCCAGCGAGGUUCCCAUUGCCGCUCUGGAUCGGGCUAAAGGCUCGCCAUUGUUCCUGCAUGGUUAAGUGCCCAGGUUUGUCCUAAUUGAGCUUAACACUAGUCGCUGGGUUCCACAGUUCUCUACCAUGACCCAUGACUUCUAAUAGAGUUGUAACACUCACCGCAUGGCCCAAGGUUCCAUUCCUUGGAAUCCGUGAGGCCAAGAACCCCAGGUCAGAGGACAAAAGGUUUGCUGCCGUAUUGGGAGCAGCCCGCCCCCAUCUUGGGAGCUGCCUGCCACAUCUUGGGAGCUCUAACAACAAAGACCCGCCUGUAACAAAGCCAGACAGAGAAGACUGGAAUAUUUGAUACUUCAAUGCAAAGACAUAGAUGUACAUCGAAAAGAAAUAAUAGCAAAGGAGGAGCCAUGACCAACCCAAACAGACAAAGCAAGGAACCAUUGUCUAACCCUAACAAGACAGAGAUAUGUCAACUUUUUUUUGAAAGGUUAACACACACUAAAGGGCAAUGCCAUUAAAGGAGAAGAGGAACUUUGGAAACUGCUGUCUGAAAGGAAAGCAAAGCACUCUUCAUUAACAGCUAGUGGGCUCCUAAUUUCUGCCCAUGAAGGCAUGUUCAUACUGACAGAGCACCCCCUCAAGGGGAAGAACCAUCCGCGCUAAUUCUUGUUGUCCUCUUCUGAGCUAGUGUGCUCAUUGUUCAUACAAACUAGUGUGUCAACAUUAAAACAAAAAGGGAGUUGAAUCAAUAAAUGACUUGGGAGGCUGUCAUACUUGUAACAACUAUGGCGACAGAAGAACACUGGCUGUAGUAUUUGGUAUUAGCAUUGGUGUCUGGAUCUAUAACUAAAAAAGCUUCUUCAUUUCUCCAAACUAAUAGAUAUGACAGAUAUUGCCACACUUAGCUCUACUUAAAUAAAUAUUCUAAACUCAAUCUCAAAUCCACUAAUGGAAUUUCUGUCGCAGUCUCUCCUAUGGUCAAAAAAUAAUUAGAGUAACAGAAUAGUAGUUUUAUACCAGAUAGAUAUUUGAAGAAGAAAUAGUCAUCAUAUAUACUUAAAUAUUCUCAAAAUGUCUCCCUUGCCCUCCCCCUAAUACCAUCAUUUCUUUGUUUCAGGGAAAUGGCAUUUUAAUAAAACACUUACUGUGAUGUACCAUUUACUGGGCAAGGGCAGCUGCCUGGCCAAGGUGAAAGAGCACAGAAGCAAAGACUUAAUGCUUUGAUCUAGAAUCCUGGCUCCACAACUUCUCUGAGUCCCAGUUACCUCAUCUAUCAAGGGCUAAUAAUCCUUCUUUUUGAGGUUGGUGUGAGAAUCAAAUGAAUUAAUCCAUAGAAAAAGCCAGCACACUGCCUAUCCUGGAGCAUGUAUUUUAAUUCCCAUGCUCUUUGCAGCUUUGCCCAUGACCUCCACUGAAGCCUCAAGACCCACAAACCUAGACAUUAAUUUGUAUGCUAAUAAUCUCCUAUGUUUGUGAGAGAGUUUGGAGCUUUCAUAGUCAUCUACCAUUGGUAAGAGAGAGGUUAGCCAGCUUACCUGAGGUCCCACAGCUGG